rnacentral:lncRNA from 1 species
GAUGUGUUUAUUUAGAAAUUAUGAUAUUUAAGCGUUAUGUGUUUUAUAGGCCCAGUGCUUUGUGGAAUAAUAGAGUCAGAGCCACAGAGAAGAACAAAGUAAGAAAGACACACUAUCUGUUGGGUGCUACAUCCAUGACUGAUUGAUGACAUAUAUAUAGCACUUUACAGGUUACAAAACAGUUCUCAAUUAUCAUGGGAGGGUGGUGGUGUUGUUAACCAGUUUAUAUAUAGGAAGCUGAGGCUGAACAUCAUUUAAGUGGCCUGCUAAAGAUCACAAAGCUGGGUUGGAGAGUCACACCUAGGUAUUCUGCUCUCAGAACAACUCUUAAGCCAGGACAGUAGAAAACUUAAGGGUGUAUCAUCUUUAGCUAGAUCACUUAGUAUGAGUAUCCCAGUUUUGCUUCUUAAUAGCUAUGUGAGCUGAAUAAGGAAAAUCACUUAACCUUUUUGUAUCUUGCCAUUAUCAAAAUGGAAACAAAAUAGAACCUAUUGCACUGAGCUUUUAGGAGAAGGAAUUAAUACAUAUAAUAUUCUUAGAACAGAACCAUCAUGUUAGGAAAUACAUGCUGGUUCUGUUCCCACUAGACUAAACUGUUUCUCCCAUUUCUGGAAAUCUCUCCUACAUUAGCUCCUGAAGUACAUUUCAUUCCUUUAUACAAAAGAGCUGAUUCUUGGCAGCAGCCUGAUUAUAAAUCAUGUGUAUUAUAUUUGUGAGGAGGUUGUGAAUAUGCAUCAGACCAUCCAUUUGAGAACAGGGUCCCAACAUGCAGAAGAUCCACAGAGACAAAACUCUGAACUCUUAAUGUAAUCUUCAUUAAGGCCCUCCUCAGAUAAAAUCCCUCUGCUGCAGCAGCUGAUUGCCACAGUAACCCUGCCGCCCACAGAACAUAAUGCAAGCUGUAAUUUAAAAUUUCAUGCAGGAAGGAAAAGUUACCAUUUCCUCAGAGUCUGUAGAUCAAACAUAAGAUGAGAAUGAAGUGUCUGCCCAGCGUAUCAAGCAUGGAAGCGGGCAGUGUGGCUUUUGAGUUCUUUCCUAGUCAAUUUUAUUGAUUAAACCUCAAACUAUCUAACAUUGUUCAUGUUGCUUUGAUGUCUAAAAAUGAUCUUUGAACACAGUGAGGAGACAAUUCAAACAGUCAGGGAGUAGAAAAACCGCUCAAAAUACUGUUGUAUUUGCUUUAGAGUGGCUAAAAACCAAGGGACCAAACUGAGUUUCAAAAGGUUUAAGGUCACACAUGCUAAACUCUAUAACUUGACUCGGAGGUGCCACGUUUGACAUGCCAGCCCUUUGUGAAGCUAGAUGGACAAGCUGAAUGAGGCAGGAGCAGUAGUCCCAGGGUCCUACUGGUGGGUUAAAACAGCUCCUAGGCUGCUUGGUCAGGUGCAUUUCCUCGUCAUCUUUUAGCCCCUCGUUAUCUUUCCUCAAGUCAAACCAUGCUCCUCAUUCUGCCUCUGGGAAGCCACAUGGGCUUGCAGAAAUCACAUGAACUUCAGGGUCAAAGAAAAUCAGUUCUGAAUCCCCAUUUUCCUCUUCAUUAGAUAAAGGGCAAUUUAUCCUCUCUGCUUCAAUAUCUUUAUCUGUAAAUGAGAUAAAAACAGUAACUUAACAACAUCGUUGGGAGGCUUAAACGAGAUAAUACAUGGGAAAGUGUUCAGCAUGUACCAGAUACUUAAAUGUCAGUUCAGAGACAGAGAAAUAAAAGGCAGUAAUAUUAACAGGCUUCUAGAGAAAGAGAACUUCUAGAAAAAUAGAGAUGAGCAUCAGACUUGUUAAUAAAAUUUUAAUUUGACUGAGAUCAAUGAAACACCCCAUGUGUUGACUACAAAUACAUACUCAUCAGCAAUCCCAAGGAAAAUCUAUCAGGGUUAUUUCCUUUCAUUAAAGAGCAAUAUAAAUAUUGAUCAAGUCUCCUAAUUCACCAGUGGUUUGCUUUCAUACCUUACACUUCUGUUCUGCACAGAGGGCACAAAUCUUCCACUUACCUUUAGUUCAUAAUUUAUUAUGUCACAUUAGAAGCUAAACAUGAACACAGGGUCCUCAUCAAGAAAAAGUACCACUUCAGGAGCACUUCUCCUAUUGCCUUAUCCCCAAAGCUGCCUGGGCCUCCUCAUGGUUGAUGUAUGUAAGAGCAAAGGGAAUAUCUUCCCCCACCACAGGAAGGCCAAACUCUUAACUAUGAAAUCAGAGCAACUGUAUGGAAGGAUCAAAAGGCAGCCCCCUCACCCAGGACCAAAAGUGAACAGCACAUUCAUUAAUGAAGAAGGAAUAUUAGGCUUGAGGACACCUAGAGGGCUGGGAAAAUGCCAAGGCAAACAUCUGUUGUUUCAUAAAGAUGGAUAAAGGCAUGCUAAUCAUCUUGUUAAUGGUGAAGAUAUUUCCUUUCAGUGCAAUGGCAAUAUAUUCUGUCUUUUGGACUUAGAAGCAAAAAUAAUAAUAGGAUGCCAUACUGGAUGCCCAGAAUCCUGAGUGAUGUUUCACCAAUGGCUGUGUCUUUCUGGAGAUCUGAGAGUCUUAGACUUAUCCUGGAAAAUGGAUUAUUAAUUAAGGAUUUUCUUGCUAGUUCUUUGCCAGGGAAGUGAAGGAAUGAAUAGCAUAGAAAGGGACUGAGCAUCUGGCAAGAUGAGGACAUUCUAGCCAGACCUGUUAUCUCUACUUCUGUUUCAGACUGACUUUAUUACUAUACAUUAUUGUAUUUCUCUUGACUGAACAGCGGUACUUCCUUUGCAUCUUCGCCUCUCAGUAUCAAAACAAAAUUCUUGCAACCAAGUAAAAGAUGAACCAAAGCACUCUGAAUAGCUAGUGUUGGAAACUGGCACUGUGGACUUUGGGCCCUGUCCCCUUCAUACGUCAGCACUGGAUGGAACUAGAAUCCAGCUUCCUCAAUUAGCAAAAAGAUGACUUCCCACAUGAGAUGUGAUUCUUCCUUUCAGGGGCCACACUUUUAUGGACAUAAAACAACACUGGUUUUUUCAGUCGGUUCUCAUUUACAUUAAGGGUCUGGUUUGCUUAAUUCUGAGAAAGAGUUGGUUUUAGUUUUUCCUUUAUAUGCCUUGGUCCUUUCAUAUGUGAUAAUAGAAGUUUUCUACUUGUUAUGAUGGGAUAGCAUUCAUUUUCUUAUUGUCCAUGAUCUCAAAGGAUCACAGUAGAAUGUUCUUCCAAAUUGUGGAGGCAUUGCACAGCUGAGCUAGAGGGGAAGUCAGUGCAGGAUUCUGCUCUCUCUAAAGAUUAUAUAUUUAAUCAUAGCUCUGUUUUCCCACUUAGGUAGAUGAGUAGCAGUAAGAGAAUAUAAAACAACAUAAAAUUUACAAGAUAAUUUAAAAACCACUUAGUUGGUACAAUAAUUUUAAAACAUAUACUUGCACAUAAAGCCUUCGAUCCUAAAGACCAUCCAAUUCAGUUCUUUCUGAAAGAACUAAAAAACCAAGAGAUACAGUGGCAGUGGAAGAUCACCAAGGGAAAGAGUGACCCAGGAGUACACUAACCCUAGAUCUUCCCACUUGGCUGCACGUCCUUCACAUGCACGUUAAACUCAUAGGAAACCGAAAUAGGGCAUAAGGAUUCGUGACCUAAGGGACAGUGAAACAGAAAUGAGGAUGGCAAAUCAUGACACAAGAGUUGCUGCUAACUCUGCACUGCUGAUCGAUCUGAUCCUUUUUCCUGAGGAGCCUCUGCACACAGCCUCAGAAGCCUUCUCAACCCAUUGUUUUGGGUACAUUACCAUGGAUUAGAUCUGUUGCACAAUGAGAAGCAUAUUUCCUAUUUCUGGUUUAACAAUUAAGUGCAUGGACAUUAGAAUUAACUCAGGUUCAAAUUCCAGUUCCACCAUUCACACUAGCUGUGUGAUCUUAAACAAGUGAUGUAACAUCUCUAAGCCUUGGGUUCUUCUGUAAAAUAGGAGGUAUGUUCACUCCCCUGUCAGGGUUGUUAGAUGAUGUGUGACGUGCUUAACACAGUAUAUGGCACAGAGUAAGCUCUCAAUCAGUGAUAUUAUCCAAAAGGAGAGACCACUUUCCAACUUUACAGCAUUAGGUUUAGCCAAACAUGGGUGAGGAGCGUUUUAUGGAGCUAUUCAAUGGGGUUUUGGGCCUUUUCGCUAGAUUUUAUAUUAAAAAUAAUAAUGAAUCUAAAAGAGACCUCCAUUUAGCAAUACAAUCUAGCUGGUAGAACCUGUUUGUCUAUUUACAGUGCUCAGUGUUCCUUCAAAGUAUCUGUGGCAGCAAACUGCAAUUCAGCUAAAGAAGGCUCAUUUAGAGACUAAAGAAGCCUGAAAAGUUUCUAGAAUUCAGGAAGGAAUCAAUGUCAGAGCUGAAUCUGGAGAUGAGGUGCUCUUACAUCCCAUUUCAGGAGCAGAGGGUGCAAGAGACAAAAACACAAGUAUGGCCAGGUCAGAAAGUUUCUUUGAUUAGAUGCCCUUCCUAGAGACACUGUGCAGGAAGAGGGAGCUAAAAGCAGUCAAGCACACACUCAACUGAACCAAAAAUGAUGUUUCCAUUGCCACCCACUGGGGCUUGUUUGCAGAGCCUGAAUCUGGGGCAAACAGCUUGCCACAUCUCUUAAUGCCUCAUCUCAACAUGCCUUGUCUCAGCAUUUACUUAAUUUGAGAUCUUUUUCUUUCCUAUCGGAAACGGUUGCAGUCACUCUUUGGCAUGAAUUGUUUUCUGGAGAGCAUGGUGUCAAUGCGAGCUUGUCAGACAGUUGUCUUGGGUGGUGGUGACAUAUUCAAGCUCCCAUGGGACAGGAGGAGCCAUUCAGAUAAUCACUUUAAAUAUUUCACUAACACAGUAGGAAAGAUUUUAAAACUAUACUGAGACAGGAUUGCUGUUUGUCGUACUCACCAUGCUUUUUUUUUAUUUCUAAUGAAAUUUGUCUUCUGAUGCUAUGGCAUCAAGAACUCUCCCUAGAAUAUUUUCAUUUGUAAAAGAUGCCCCUAAAUGGUUUAUUUUUAUUUAUACUAGAGCCAGGGAGUCAUGGUAACCUGCGGAAGUGCAGAAGGAAAGUAUAAUUUUCGAGGGAGGAGAUAAGGGUAAGCCACAGAAAAAAGAAACUUAAGCACCCUUUGAGUCCUCUAUCUCCUAAAGUAAUGCAUUAGCUAUCCAGAAGGGACCAAAUAUUCGCAGCAGGUGAAAUUUCCCCAGUUGUCUUCAUAGGUUUAAUUCUCAGAUACUUACCAUUAGGAGACACUGUGAAAUGCCUCCUCCUAGCUUUUUGUCUGUGGUGAGACUGUGAGCAGCACUUCCGGUCAUCUGCUUUUUUGAAAGAGAAAAAAAUGUAGACAAAGUCCAAAUUUUAACCUGAUGCCUAGAGUUUCUUUCCAUGAAUAUAGCAUAAUUAUUGAGAGAUCGCCUCUGAUGAAUUUUCAGGUGUAUGCUUCCAAUUUUUUUUUUUUUUACAUUUACAUAAAAAUUCAAUUGGAACAGGAGUUUUUGUUGCCGCCUUAGUGGAAUUUUCUUGUGAGAUUUCUCAGAGAGAUGUAAGAGCCAGAAACCAAACUUAGAUUAAAAAAUAUAUAUAUACAGGAUGUGCUGCAAAGUAUCAUGGGCGUGUUCCAGCUCAUGGUAGAGUCUUGUGCCAUAAAUAAUUCCUUUGCAGCUAAGCUGACUCCUGGCCCAGCACCUACUCUCUUGGGAACUGGACAAAGGGCACAACAUUUAAAUGUGCACCAUCAUACAACUUAAUGAAUCGGAGUUCCCGUCGUGGCGCAGUGGUUAACGAAUCCGACUAGGAACCAUGAGCUUACGGGUUCGGUCUCUGCCCUUGCUCAGUGGGUUAACAAUCCGGCGUUGCCGUGAGCUCUGGUGUAGGUUGCAGACGCAGCUCGGAUCCCGUGUUGCUGUGGCUCUGGCAUAGGCCAGUGGCUAUAGCUCCACUUCAACCCUUAGCCUGGGAACCUCCAUAUGCCACGGGAGUGGCCCAAGAAAUAGC